rnacentral:rRNA from 1 species
AAGACCUUGCACUUUUGGAGCGGCCGAUGUCUGAUUAGCUAGUUGGUGGGGUAAUGGCCUACCAAAGCUUCGAUCAGUAGCUGGUCUGAGAGGACGGCCAGCCACACUGGGACUGAGACACGGCCCAGACUCCUACGGGAGGCAGCAGUGGGGAAUUUUGGACAAUGGGGGCAACCCUGAUCCAGCCAUGCCGCGUGAGUGAAGAAGGCCUUCGGGUUGUAAAGCUCUUUCAGCCGGAACGAAACGGUUACGGUUAAUACCCGUGAUUACUGACGGUACCGGAAGAAGAAGCACCGGCUAACUACGUGCCAGCAGCCACGGUAAUACGUAGGGUGCGAGCGUUAAUCGGAAUUACUGGGCGUAAAGCGUGCGCAGGUGGUUUUGUAAGUCAGAUGUGAAAGCCCCGGGCUCAACCUGGGAACU